rnacentral:rRNA from 1 species
CGCGCUGCAUUAGCUAGUUGGUAAGGUAACGGCUUACCAAGGCAACGAUGCAUAGCCGACCUGAGAGGGUGAUCGGCCACACUGGAACUGAGACACGGUCCAGACUCCUACGGGAGGCAGCAGUAGGGAAUCUUCCGCAAUGGGCGAAAGCCUGACGGAGCAACGCCGCGUGAGUGAUGAAGGUCUUCGGAUCGUAAAACUCUGUUAUUAGGGAAGAACAUAUGUGUAAGUAACUGUGCACAUCUUGACGGUACCUAAUCAGAAAGCCACGGCUAACUACGUGCCAGCAGCCGCGGUAAUACGUAGGUGGCAAGCGUUAUCCGGAAUUAUUGGGCGUAAAGCGCGCGUAGGCGGUUUUUUAAGUCUGAUGUGAAAGCCCACGGCUCAACCGUGGAGGGUCAUUGGAAACUGGAAAACUUGAGUGCAGAAGAGGAAAGUGGAAUUCCAUGUGUAGCGGUGAAAUGCGCAGAGAUAUGGAGGAACACCAGUGGCGAAGGCGACUUUCUGGUCUGUAACUGACGCUGAUGUGCGAAAGCGUGGGGAUCAAACAGGAUUAGAUACCCUGGUAGUCCACGCCGUAAACGAUGAGUGCUAAGUGUUAGGGGGUUUCCGCCCCUUAGUGCUGCAGCUAACGCAUUAAGCACUCCGCCUGGGGAGUACGACCGCAAGGUUGAAACUCAAAGGAAUUGACGGGGACCCGCACAAGCGGUGGAGCAUGUGGUUUAAUUCGAAGCAACGCGAAGAACCUUACCAAAUCUUGACAUCCUUUGACAACUCUAGAGAUAGAGCCUUCCCCUUCGGGGGACAAAGUGACAGGUGGUGCAUGGUUGUCGUCAGCUCGUGUCGUGAGAUGUUGGGUUAAGUCCCGCAACGAGCGCAACCCUUAAGCUUAGUUGCCAUCAUUAAGUUGGGCACUCUAAGUUGACUGCCGGUGACAAACCGGAGGAAGGUGGGGAUGACGUCAAAUCAUCAUGCCCCUUAUGAUUUGGGCUACACACGUGCUACAAUGGACAAUACAAAGGGCAGCGAAACCGUGAGGUCAAGCAAAUCCCAUAAAGUUGUUCUCAGUUCGGAUUGUAGUCUGCAACUCGACUACAUGAAGCUGGAAUCGCUAGUAAUCGUAGAUCAGCAUGCUACGGUGAAUACGUUCCCGGGUCUUGUACACACCGCCCGUCACACCACGAGAGUUUGUAACACCCGAAGCCGGUGGAGUAACCUUUUAGGAGCUAGCCGUCGAAGGUGGGACAAAUGAUUGGGGUGAAGUCGUAACAAGGUAGCCGUAUCGGAAGGGGCGGCUGGAUCACCUCCUUUCUAAGGA